UCAAACCACAUGGUCCAUUUGCCGCGUGCAGUUGGGAAGUUCCUGCAAUUAUGUCGACUAGUAUAGGUAUAGAAAGGUCAAGACAAGACGAAGCAAGACGGCUUUUUCAAGCAAUAGAAGAGAGCAACAUACAAAUUCUUCGAGAUUUUGCAGAUUUACCUGACACCAGACAAAGAACCAUUUGGAGGAAAGAUUACUUCAGAGCCCUUUUAAUAGAGAGAAAUAUACCCGUGAUUGCAAUAAUUGAGUAUUUCUCGGGGCAAAAUGGCAGACAUUUAAACAUAGAUAUAUCUCACCGUGGGCUUCCGGUCUGUCAAGACACCGUCCAGUGAAUCAGCAGAACUUAUGAACCCGACAUCGUAUGUGUUCAGCUUUCAGUAUAAUGUACAAUAUUAGCAGUGAAUAAUUAUAAUAUUAUCAUGUCGGGGUCUCUCAUAUCUAGUCUAAUCACAUAUACAAGGUAUUUGUCAAUAUAUGUUGUCAAGAGCGUUGUAAAGAUAUGAUUUACUAUAGAAACCAGAAUCUCACCCACAUUAUUUGUAAGAUAUUCAAGAUGUCAUUGUGUGUUUUGUUAAAUAAUAUCAUGAUGUUGACAAGGAGGAAAACCCAACACAGAAUGUAAAACU